ACCUUGGCUCUAGACUGCUUACUGCUAAAAGUCCCCCAAAGUACAGUAACAGUCUACAGUCAUGGCUA
rnacentral:pre_miRNA from 1 species